CUCGCGCUUCCCUUUUUUGGCCAGGAGCGUUUACAUGCCUUGUGUCCUAUGUGUGACCUGCACAUAAUGUGCUACCAGCUCUGUGCCGAGAAAAGCUUGGGAUACACUGCGGUCUGCAGAGCAAAGUUCCCUUCGCGCUAAGUGUCUCUGCACGUUACGCCAGAGGGGAAGUGUGGCCGGUUCAGUCGACUCCGGACGUAACAGCAUUCCAGGCACUGUUCAGGGGUUAGCUAUGGCAGCUCUUUUGCGCUGUGGCUCGAUUCACAGAUUUGGGCCCCAUUCAGAUUUAGGACCCAGGACUUCACCCCCUGUAUGCCUCUACACAUGGCCCCUGGACAUAAGGAUUACUAGACUAUUCUUCACGGCCAUCGUUAUAGUUUCUUUUAUCCGGACAUUUCUAAGUGAGCCCAAAGUUUGGAAUGGUAGUGUAGAAGAACAGGAAACACUCUUCCCUGCAGGAAGGAAAAGAAAUGAGGGACAUCAACACAACUAUGGGAAGACAAGCGCUCAAGAGCCGAACAACUGAAAGAGAAGAGGAACAUUUUUCCAUGUUCGGGCUAAAGGACAGGCAACCGGAGAAGAUCAAGGCUCCACUUAAGGAUGUCAUCAGAUGAAAGGCUUAGUGUUACACCAGACACGUAUCAGCGGCUCCAUUCAAAGAGACCAGCUCUGAGUGGGACACAGGAAUCUCCAGGACGCGUGCUAAAAGGGAGUGUAAAUAAUUGGUCCUGGGUCAAGUUUAACUGAACCCACGUCGAUAAAGGUCAGUCACAUUGCCAUCACUCACCCCACCACACGUGUUGUUUACGAAGGCAUCUCGGAAACAAGUUAUUUUGAACCCAGCACCCCCUGACUGCGUUCCGAACGCGGCGGGGUCGACCUCUACUGCCCAGGUCAAAUCUUCGGGGGUAUUUUCAUUAGGACGCGCCACCGGAAGUGGCGAGGCUCUCCAUCAGCGUAAAAGGAGGGGCGUUCAGAGUUGUAAUUCCAAUGGAUUCAUGAAUGAUCGCAACUGACACAGGGUUAUGAUGAGGGAUCACCCAAUGACCAAGAUUCAUCAACCAGACAAUUGACUCCCUCACAAUGAAGACUGGCCCAACGCAUCUGCCCGUUCGCUCACUGAUGGGCUCAAUACUUGGAUUAUGGCCUACAGGGAAGAGGUCAGUGACCUGGAAGUGUGGCGCCAGGACAGCAACCACUCCCUAAACAAAGUAGGUUGGGGACGGCAGCCUAUGGAAGGAUGAGCACACCACCAUUCACGGGGCGGAAUUGGUAUGAGUCGAUGGGAAGUUCCACUGUAUUGUAAAAGAGCCAUUGAGGGGGAAAAAGGCUUUUACCACGCAACGAUUGGUGCCCUCUGUCAUCCAAACCACUCCCUUCAAAUUUCAUGUAUGUAUGAGAGUGAUUGUGCUUAGGAAUGCACAUUUAAACAACACAUUACACAUCCAUCUCAAAAGGGGAGGUUUAAAACAUUCUGUUAAUCGCCCAGACACAAGCUGAAUGUAAGCUUUCAUAUUUUGAAGUAGUAGUGUGGAGAACCCAGUACACCACAGAUCUCCCUACCAUCUUGGACCUCCACUCAUACAAGGCAGUUUCAGAAAAAGUCCCUAUGAUCCAAGUAGUGUUAUUAAUAGAGAGCUCAAAUAUGCAGUAAAAUGUCAGAUUCAUUUUCUGUAUUAAUUACACUUGAUUGUCAUUAUCUUUACAAAGUCGCAUAACUAUUCUGGUUAGCAUUUCUAUUGAUGGUGUUUCAAUUGCCAUUUGUUGUGUAUCUGUCAAUAAAGUUAGGUGAGAAAGGAAGUACACCCACUGAAAACUUUAACAUAUUUUAGAUUUUUUUUUUUUUAAAUCAACCAUACUAUAUACUGAUGAAUAUAACCCAAUGUAUAGGAUUACAAAAAACAGAAGUUA
ensembl:lncRNA